rnacentral:ncRNA from 1 species
CAAACGACAGUGAAAAGAAGAGUAGCAGUUCAUUUGUUCCCAGAGAGUCUCUGGUUGGUGAAAAGAGACGGCAAUGAGUUGUGAACCACAUCUUUGAGUCGAUCAACUGAAGAAAGUAGGUUGGUCCGGGAGAGCCCGUUAUAGCGGAGGUCAGAUUGACCAGUUGAGAUCGUUCGUUGUGAGACGACGAUGAAAAAAGGUGGAACCACGUAACUACGUCCUUUAG